rnacentral:rRNA from 1 species
UAAAAUGAGAGUUUGAUCCUGGCUCAGGACGAACGCUGGCGGCGUGCCUAAUACAUGCAAGUAGAACGCUGAGACUGGUGCUUGCACUGGUCUAAGGAGUUGCGAACGGGUGAGUAACGCGUAGGUAACCUACCUCAUAGCGGGGAUAACUAUUGGAAACGAUAGCUAAUACCGCAUGACAAUAGGGUACACAUGUACCUAUUUAAAAGGGCAAAUGCUUCACUAUGAGAUGGACCUGCGUUGUAUUAGCUAGUUGGUAAGGUAACGGCUUACCAAGGCGACGAUACAUAGCCGACCUGAGAGGGUGAUCGGCCACACUGGGACUGAGACACGGC